AGAGUUUGAUCCUGGCUCAGGAUAAACGCUGGCGGCGUGCAUGAGACAUGCAAGUCGAACGGACACACAGCGCUUGCUCUGUGUGUUAGUGGCGGACGGCUGAGUAACGCGUAGGUGACCUGCCCCGAAGUGGGGAAUAACUGCCCGAAAGGGUGGCUAAUACCGCAUGUGGUGGUGUGUUCGAUCACACCAGUAAAGCCGCAAGGCGCUUCGGGAGGGGCCUGCGUCCGAUUAGCUCGUUGGUGGGGUAACGGCUCACCAAGGCCACGAUCGGUAGGUGGUCUGAGAGGACGAUCACCCAGACUGGGACUGAGACACGGCCCAGACUCCUACGGGAGGCAGCAGUCGGGAAUUUUGCGCAAUGGACGAAAGUCUGACGCAGCAACGCCGCGUGAGGGAUGACGGCCUUCGGGUUGUAAACCUCUUUUAUCAGGGAAGAUAAUGACGGUACCUGAUGAAUAAGUCACGGCUAACUACGUGCCAGCAGCCGCGGUAAUACGUAGGUGACAAGCGUUGUCCUGAUUUACUGGGCGUAAAGAGCGCGCAGGCGGUCGAUCAAGUCGAGUGUGAAAGCCCCCGGCUCAACUGGGGAGGGUCAUUCGAUACUGAUCGACUCGAAGGCAGGAGAGG
rnacentral:rRNA from 1 species